GACGAACGCUGGCGGCGUGCCUAAUACAUGCAAGUAGGACGCAGUUGCGAACGGGUGAGUAACGCGUAGGUAACUACCUAUUAGAGGGGGAUAACUAUUGGAAACGAUAGCUAAUACCGCAUACUAGUAGAUGGACCUGCGUUGGAUUGGCUAGUAGGUAGGGUAAUGGCCUACCUAGGCAACGAUACAUAGCCGACCUGAGAUGGUGAGCGGGCAAAAUGGGACUGAGACACGGCCCAGAAUACGACGGGAGGCAGCAGUAGGGAAUCUGCAGCAAUUGGGGGAACCCUGACCGAGCAACGCCGCGGUAGUGAAGAAGGUUGUAGGAUCGUAAAGCUCUGUUGUUAAGGAAGCGGUACUUAACCAGAAAGUGACGGCUAACUACGUGCCAGCAGCCGCGGUAAUAC
rnacentral:rRNA from 1 species